AAGUUUGAUGGCGACCGGCGCACGGGUGAGUAACACGUAUCCAACCUGCCGAUGACUCGGGGAUAGCCUUUCGAAAGAAAGAUUAAUACCCGAUGGCAUAGUUCUUCCGCAUGGUAGAACUAUUAAAGAAUUUCGGUCAUCGAUGGGGAUGCGUUCCAUUAGGUUGUUGGCGGGGUAACGGCCCACCAAGCCUUCGAUGGAUAGGGGUUCUGAGAGGAAGGUCCCCCACAUUGGAACUGAGACACGGCCCAGACUCCUACGGGAGGCAGCAUG
rnacentral:rRNA from 1 species